CCUGUGCGUGGCUACUGCGUUUGUGUAUGCGUUCACGCGCGAGGCGGUGCCACUCACUGUAAUUAUGUCGCUGAGAGCUCCUCCUCCACCCAUUUCUUAAUCCUUUAUAUCCGCUAAUACCGCGUCAAACAUUUACCCACUAAAGCCCCAGCUGCCGUCAACCAACACAGGCUAUCAAAGUUCCUGUUGUGAAGCUCCGAGUUUGGGACAGCUUUUUAUUUACCUCCGCUGACGUCUGAGGAGAGAGAAAGUCAGCUGAUCGGCAUGGCCUCCUCUGACGAUACAGAGGGGUCCCUGACUCCUGUGGAUUUUAUCCAGCUGCAGCAUUACAUGGAAUACAGCAGUUUGAGGGUGAAAGAUGUGAUGAAGGAGUUUCACCCUGGGGGUCGGCUGGCCCAGCACAGCAAUGGAGAGUGCGUCGAUGCAGUGGGUUUCUGUCUCUUUCUCAAGACCUACCUAGAAGUGGAUGACUUCCCUGCAGAUUUCUGCCAACGCCUUUUUCGGUAUUUUCAACAUGUGGAGCAUGGGUCCACAAAGAGCCCUCUGCCCAAAGGAGGUGGGGUCUUUCUUCGUGAUGUGUCCUGUUACUUCUCAGUGCUGGAGGAAGGACAGCCACGGGAGAAGCUUGAAUUUACUUUCAAACUUUAUGAUAAAGACUGCAACAAACUCCUGGACAGCUCAGAGGUGGAUCGUAUAAUCACCCAGAUGAUGCGAGCUGCUGAUUACCUGGGCUGGGACGUGACUGAACUCAGACCAGUGCUCAAAGACAUGAUGACAGCGAUCGAUGUGGAUGACAGUGGGACUGUCACUCUGGAGGAAUGGGUGAAGGGAGGCAUGAACAAUGUGCCUUUACUUGUUCUGCUUGGACUGAAGAUGACAGAGAGGGAUGGACAGCAUAUUUGGAGGAUGAAGCACUUUAACAGGCCGACCUACUGCAACGUGUGUCAGAGCAUGCUGCUUGGCCUCGGGAAGCAGGGACUCUGCUGCACCUGUUGCAAGUACACCGUCCACAGUCAGUGUGCCAACAAGAAUCCCGAACCCUGUGCUCGUACUUUUGUUAAAUCUAAACUGAAGAUUGGUUGUCGCAACCACAACUCACGAUCUGUGAUGGAUCACAACAGUGAACUGGCCAAGUUUCGUCAGCUGAUUCCGGAGGUAGCAGCUCACGACUGGAUCGGAGCUGACUGUAACUCCUCCAAGUGUCAGGUUUGCCACAAGAAGAUCAAAACUGUAGCGGGGAAGCGUUGUGUGUGGUGCCAGGAGAUGCGUCAUGAUGAGUGUCUUUUCUCUGGCUUGUCGUCCUGUGAUUGUGGGCCACUUAGAGAUCAUAUACUGCCUCCGUGGGCCAUAUACGCUGUCUCAAAGGAGGAGGACACUAGCUUGUUAAACGUCACCCCUGAUGGCCACAUCCUGCAGAUUGUCCCAAUUCCAGACACCCACCCUCUGCUGGUGUUUGUGAACCCAAAAAGUGGAGGAAAGCAGGGUCAACGAGUGCUCAGAAAGUUUCAGUACCUGCUGAACCCACGUCAAGUGUACAACCUUUCCAACGGAGGUCCUGCACCAGGACUACACUUCUUCCGCAACCUGCGUGAGUACAGGAUCUUGGUGUGUGGAGGAGAUGGCACCGUUGGGUGGCUACUGGAUGCUAUAGACAAAGAAAACCUGCAGGUGCAUCCUCCAGUAGCUGUCCUGCCUCUGGGCACCGGGAAUGACCUGGCUCGCUGUCUUCGCUGGGGAGGAGGCUACGAUGGGUCAGACUUGAGAGAGAUCCUGAAGGAGAUCGAAGCUAGCCAGUUGGUUCUCAUGGACCGCUGGAGCAUCCAGGUGAUACCAGACGACCCCCAAGAGGCAGGAGACCCUGUGCCCUUCCAGAUCAUUAACAACUACUUCUCUAUUGGAGUGGAUGCCUCUAUCGCUCAUCGCUUCCACUCCAUGAGAGAGAAACACCCCCAGAGAUUCAACAGCAGAAUGAAGAACAAACUUUGGUAUUUUGAGUUUGCCACUACUGAGACCAUCUCUGCGUCUUGCAAGAAGCUGAAGGAGUGUCUAACGAUUGAGUGCUGUGGGAGGACCCUGGACCUGAGCAGCAUGUCUCUGGAGGGCAUAGCUGUCCUCAACAUACCCAGCAUGCACGGAGGCUCCAACCUUUGGGGCGAGUCCAAGAAGCCUGAUAGUGUGCCAGAGGUGAAGCACAGUGAGGUUAUCACUGACCCUGACCUUUUAAAAACAAUCUCUCAAGAUAUGAGUGAUGAGCGUUUGGAAGUGGUGGGGCUGGAAGGAGCCAUAGAGAUGGGACAGAUCUACAGUGGACUGAAGAGAGCCGGGCACAGACUGGCACAGACUUACCAAAUUACCAUCAGGACAAUCAAAGCCCUGCCCAUGCAAAUUGAUGGGGAGCCCUGGAUGCAGCCUCCAUGUACUAUCCACAUAACUCACAAGAACCAAGCUAACAUGCUGAUGGCUGCACCAACAAAACCAACCGGCUUCUUUAACCUCAAGUAGAUUAACGCUUCCACUACAUCCUCCAAUCUGCUGAGGGUCACAACAGAACAUCUAUAUUAUCUUGAAUGAUGCAGGAUGAGUAUUUAAAAGAGAGCGUCCAUCGCUGAGUGUGUAACUGUGUGUUUCUAUUAUUAAGUAUUAUUGUGUAUGUCUUUUGCACUUUAAUCCCUGAUAUAAUUCUAAAUAAUUUCAAAGUACAGACAGUUUGCACUCAGGCAGAGACCACACUGACCAAAUCAAAAGUGCAAAUUGCACUACUCAGUCUGAUCACUGCUAUUGUGUGCCAACUUAAAUGCAAUGCAUCCUUUUGUUUUCUGUAAAUAAAAGAGCAGAGCAUGUUCUACAGUAGACUGAUACAGAAUAUAUUUGCUUAUUGUAUGUCGUGAGAGCUUUUUUGUGCUUAAUCAAAUUUACAGGAGUGUCUUGUAGAGUUUAAUCUGUACUUCCUAAUGCAGCUGGUGAUAAACUUGCUUUGUUCUGCCUUCAGAAGCUCACAGCAGCUCACCUUUGUCCAACAACACUAUCCUACCUGUCUGAUCUUGUGUCUUUCAUUGUCAGUUUUCAUCCAACUAAAAGAUAAAUAUAUAAUGUAA